rnacentral:rRNA from 1 species
GACGAACGCUGGCGGCGUGCUUAACACAUGCAAGUCGAACGGUAAGGCCCUUCGGGGUACACGAGUGGCGAACGGGUGAGUAACACGUGGGUGAUCUGCCCUGCACUUCGGGAUAAGCCUGGGAAACUGGGUCUAAUACCGGAUAGGACUCCGGACUGCAUGGUCUGGGGUGGAAAGCUUUUGCGGUGUGGGAUGGGCCCGCGGCCUAUCAGCUUGUUGGUGGGGUGAUGGCCUACCAAGGCGACGGCGGGUAGCCGGCCUGAGAGGGUGACCGGCCACACUGGGACUGAGAUACGGCCCAGACUCAUACGGGAGGCAGCAGUGGGGAAUAUUGCACAAUGGGCGCAAGCCUGAUGCAGCGACGCCGCGUGAGGGAUGACGGCCUUCGGGUUGUAAACCUCUUUCAGCAUCGACGAAGCGAAAGUGACGGUAGGUGCAGAAGAAGGACCGGCCAACUACGUGCCAGCCGCCGCGGUAA